UGAGACUGGUUCUCAGUGAUUCUGGUGGAACACAGUGUAAGAAAAUUUCUAGGGACUCAGAACUCUACCCCCUCCAGAGUAGGGGCAAAGGCACCUAACAGCAGGGCAAGGAGCCAUGAAGAGUCACCGGGGAUCCCUGCUGGGGCUUCUGUGGUUCCAGAUUAGCUGGGUGAGAGGGGUGAAUGUGGAGCAGAGUCCUUCAGCUCUGAGCCUCCAGGAGGGAACCAGCCCUACUCUGAGGUGCAAUUUUUCUACCACAGUGAACAACGUGCAGUGGUUCCGACAGAAUCCUGGGGGUGGCCUCAUCCGACUGUUUUAUAUAGCUUCGGGGAUGAAGCAGAACGGAAGGCUGAACUCCACACUGAAUUCAAAGGAACGGUAUAGUACCCUUCACAUCACAGCCUCCCAGCUGGAAGACUCAGCCGCCUACCUCUGUGCAGCGGAGGCACAGUGCUGCCAGGUGGUGUGCAGCCUGCACCCAAACUGCAGCUGGGCUGCAGCACCGCCCCUCCGUGGGUGGGCAUGUGCCCCCUCAGUAACUUCUGCACCCCUUCGGGGCCUUCAGAUUCAUAAUCCAGCACUUUUUCCCUCCUAAAAUUAAAUCCCUUAGGUGUGUCAUUUCCCUUGAUUUUUGUUUUUGUUCUCGCCGUUUUCCUUCCCAGAAGUCCCUUUGCAGGUAUAAAGCUCUAAUAUGGAGCCAUUGUGACAGCUGAUAAAGAUGUCAAUAUUCUAUGUCCUGUUAAAACAAUCCAGUGCUCUAGGCAGGUAACAUAUAAAUUACACAUAAAUUUCUCUGAUGGAAAAGGCUUGAAAAAAUAUAUGGUGGUCAACAAAUAGAAAGAUCUGACUCAGAUUUUCUUUUAACUGCACGUGGCUCUACUUCAAGGAAAAGGGAAGAGAGCGUGUAUAAUGUUUUUUAAACUUUAUAUUCAGCUUUUUUAU